AAACUGGAUGAUCUUGGACCUUGUUGAGCUUAUCUAAGCUGAAUAACUUUUUGCCCAUGGCAGGGGACUGGACUUGAUGAUCUUACAGGUCCCUU